rnacentral:rRNA from 1 species
UACGUAGGGGGCAAGCGUUGUCCGGAAUCAUUGGGCGUAAAGCGCGUGUAGGCGGCCCGAUAAGUCCGCUGUGAAAGUCAAAGGCUCAACCUUUGAAAGCCGGUGGAUACUGUGGGACUAGAGUACGGAAGAGGCGAGUGGAAUUCCUGGUGUAGCGGUGGAAUGCGCAGAUAUCAGGAGGAACACCAAUAGCGAAGGCAGCUCGCUGGGACGUUACUGACACUGAGGCGCGAAAGCGUGGGGAGCGAACAGG